rnacentral:tRNA from 1 species
AAGGGUAUAGCUCAGUGGUAGAGUGCCUGCCUAGCAUGUAUAAGGUCCUAGGUUCAGUCCCCAGUACCCUAU